GAUGAACGCUGGCGGCGUGCUUAACACAUGCAAGUCGAACGAAGCACUUAAGAUUGAUUCUUCGGAUGACGUCUUUUGUGACUUAGUGGCGGACGGGUGAGUAACGCGUGGGUAACCUGCCUCACACAGGGGGAUAACAGUUAGAAAUGACUGCUAAUACCGCAUAACCCGAUAGGAUCGCAUGAUCCAGACGGAAAAGAUUUAUCGGUGUGAGAUGGACCCGCGUCUGAUUAGCUAGUUGGUGAGGUAACGGCCCACCAAGGCGACGAUCAGUAGCCGACCUGAGAGGGUGAACGGCCACAUUGGGACUGAGACACGGCCCAAACUCCUACGGGAGGCAGCAGUGGGGAAUAUUGCACAAUGGGGGAAACCCUGAUGCAGCGACGCCGCGUGAGUGAAGAAGUAUUUCGGUAUGUAAAGCUCUAUCAGCAGGGAAGAAAAUGACGGUACCUGACGAAGAAGCCCCGGCUAACUACGUG
rnacentral:rRNA from 1 species